rnacentral:rRNA from 1 species
GCUAAGGUAGCAUAAUCAUUUGCUUUUUAAUUGAAGGCUGGUAUGAAGGGUUAAACAAUAGAGGUCUGUUUUAUGGUAUUAGUAUAAUUUGUAUUUUAAGUAAAAAUACUUAAAUAUAAUAAAGGGACGAUAAGACCCUAGAAGCUUUAAUUUAUAGCUUAUUAGAAUUAAUAAGCUUAGAAUGUUGGCUGGGGUAGUAGCUGUAUUUUAAUUAUAGUUGGAGAUUAUCUUUAGAGAAAUAAGAUCCUUUAAAUAAGGAGAGUUAGAUUUAGUUACUUUAGGGAUAACAGCGUGAUAGUUUUGGAGAGAUCUUAUUGAUAUAAUUGUUUACGACCUCGAUGUUGAAUUAAGAUUUUUUAUAGUGCAGAAAAUAUGAUGAAAGGUUUGUUCAACCUGUAGUGUCUUACAUGAUCUGAGUUCAAACC